GAAGGAUCAUUAACCUUUCAAAAAACAGGGUGCGUCGCGGCCCCCCUCCGGGGGCGGUUUGGGGUCCUCCCCUUCACGCGCGCACGACUGCAUCCUUACUUUACGAGCACCUUCUGUUCUCCCUCGGCGGGGCAACCUGCCGUUGGAACCGAAUAAACCCUUUUUUGCAUCCAGCAUUACCCGUUCCGAAACAAACAAUCGUUACAACUUUCAACAAUGGAUCUCUUGGCUCUGGCAUCGAUGAAGAACGCAGCGAAAUGCGAUAAGUAGUGUGAAUUGCAGAAUUCAGUGAAUCAUCGAAUCUUUGAACGCACAUUGCGCCCCUUGGUAUUCCGGGGGGCAUGCCUGUUCGAGCGUCAUCUACACCCUCAAGCUCUGCUUGGUGUUGGGCGUCUGUCCCGCCUCAGCGCGCGGACUCGCCCCAAAUCCAUUGGCAGCGGUCCUUGCCUCCUCUCGCGCAGCACAUUGCGCUUCUCGAGGGGCUCCGGCCCGCGUCCAACAAGAAAACAUUACCGUCUUUGACCUCGGAUCAGGUAGGGAUACCCGCUGAACUUAAGCAUAUCAA
rnacentral:rRNA from 1 species